CACCAGACUCCUACGGGAGGCAGCAGUGGGGAAUAUUGCACAAUGGGGGAAACCCUGAUGCAGCGACGCCGCGUGAGUGAAGAAGUAUUUCGGUAUGUAAAGCUCUAUCAGCAGGGAAGAAAAUGACGGUACCUGACUAAGAAGCCCCGGCUAACUACGUGCCAGCAGCCGCGGUAAUACGUAGGGGGCAAGCGUUAUCCGGAUUUACUGGGUGUAAAGGGAGCGUAGACGGCAUGGCAAGUCAGAUGUGAAAGCCCGGGGCUCAACCCCGGGACUGCAUUUGGAACUGUGUGGCUGGAGUGUCGGAGAGGCAGGCGGAAUUCCUAGUGUAGCGGUGAAAUGCGUAGAUAUUAGGAGGAACACCAGUGGCGAAGGCGGCCUGCUGGACGAUGACUGACGUUGAGGCUCGAAAGCGUGGGGAGCAAACAGGAUUAGAUACCCUCGUAUUA
rnacentral:rRNA from 1 species